GAAACUUUGACUUAUAAUUCAUACAUUAAAUUUUGAAAUAUACCGUGUUUAUACAAUCCCGGCUUGUGUCCUGAUGGCUUCUAAUUUUACCCACAACGAAGUUAUAGGGGUUUGAAAAUGGCCUGAACUGUUUCGAAAAAAAGAAUAGUACGGCCGCUUUUUUGUUCGACUUGGCGGGCUCACUGCCGCGCCCCCAGAUCGUUUCGGAAAGUAUCCUGGAUGAUCUUAUAAGUUAUGAAGGCUGUGUUUGGAAGGCUAAAUAUGAAAUUAUAAGUGCUAAAGAUAUGUGUCGGUUUAUGUGUUGGUCGCGACCGUGGGACUAUUGUAUAUGUUUCGAUAAUGUUAAUUAGCUGCAUGUUUCGAUAAUAUGAUUACAAAAUUAAUUUCAAAUUACAUGACACUUAAUUAACAACGCACCAUGACUUUUCUAUAUAAGAAACACCUCGUGUUAUAUCUUUGAAAAAAUGAAGGCUUUUCUGCUAUAUGUUUUUCUUUUAGUGAUUUUCCAAUCAUCAGCAUGGCACCACGACCAUCAUCACAGAGGCAUACACAUAACACCGAAUUCAGUCGAAAUUUACGAGCAACCUGAUGAUGUUUUGAUUUACAAAACCAUGAAGAAAACCAAUUUGAGAUCUGAUGAUGACAUGCGCGUGAUUGCGGAUCGCGUGAUGGAAUUAUCCGAUAGGUUGCAAAUAUAAAAGAUGAUAUAUU